GGAGGAGGCAAGCGUUGUCCGGAAUCAUUGGGCGUAAAGAGCGCGUAGGCUGUUUUUCAAGUCAUUUGUGAAAACCUCAGGCUUAACUUGAGGACUGCAUAUGAAACUGGAAAACUUGAGUGCAGUAGGGGAAAGUGGAAUUCCUGGUGUAGCGGUGAAAUGCGCAGAUAUCAGGAAGAACACCGGUAGCGAAGGCGGCUUUCUGGGCUGCUACUGACGCUGAGGCGCGAAAGCUAGGGGGGGAGCAAACAGGAUUAGAUACCCUGGUAGUCCUAGCUGUAAACGAUGGACACUAGGUGUGGGGGAGUUAUCGACGCUUUCCGUGCCGGAGCUAACGCAUUAAGUGUCCCCGCCUGGGAGUACGGUCGCAAGACUA
rnacentral:rRNA from 1 species